CGGCGGCAGUUUCAUAUCGGCGCGUGCACAAAUCGGCCGCUAAAUUCUGAUUAUUUUCGGAGUGUUGUUUUUGAAAUUUUUUCUAUUGAAAUUAUUGGGUGUCAAUGACAAAAUCGAAGAGAAAAUUUGCGAUCACGGACAAAUUUUUACCCAGGCUCGCUAAAAACCUGUGCACAAGAAAAGGCAGUCGUCGAGCGAACACCGGUAACCGUCUGGAACACGCGGUGCUUACUCACAUUCAGCACGUGCCGUAGACAGUCAGCUAUCGCCACAUCACCUCUCAUCUCCAUCGGCUCGUACUGACUCAGUGAAGACCACCAGCAGCAAUGGCCCGCGGUGACGACCUUAAGACCGCUUCUAGAGCUAAUCAAGCGUGCAAACAAUUCGACGUCGCCGCUCCUUUCAAGAAACCAAUGGCAAAUCCACCAGCCAGCAAGCAGGAAGAAAAGAAGAAGGACUACGGCGCUUGGGGUCCCAUCUUUAAGGACAAGAAGAACUUUACCGAGAUGCAUCUCUGCUGAACUGAUGAGCUACGAGCCAGAUCAUCUACAAUCAUCAUCAGUCAUUAUCACCACAAGAAUCGCAAUGUAGUGCUUAAAGCUGCUACCAAAAAAAUUGUUCUAAAACCAAUAAACGCAAUGUAAUGUCGACCUAUUCUUUGUGGUGUAGCUUCUCUCUUGUCUAUAACGGUUUAGGGUUUUUUUCUGCAUACUAACAAGAACAUGUAUAUUCAUUGUAACAGAUUAAAUAUCAUCACCAUCCG